rnacentral:lncRNA from 1 species
AAAAAUUGACAUUUUGACCAAUUGUUGACUUUGGUCAACAGUUGACUUUUUGGUCAACUUUGACCAAAGUCAACCCAAAUUCCCUAAACCCAAAAAUUUCCCCAUAAUAAUUGAUUCAUUAUCCAUUUACACAAGAAAAUACAAAAAAAUGCAUUUUUGACCAAUUGUUGACUUUGGUCAACAGUUGACUUUUUGGUCAACCUUGACCAAAGUCAACGCAACCUCUUUGCAUCCUAAAAUCCUAAGUCUUCCAUCAU